AUUGAACGCUGGCGGCAUGCCUUACACAUGCAAGUCGAACGGUAACGCGGGGCAACCUGGCGACGAGUGGCGAACGGGUGAGUAAUACAUCGGAACGUGCCCAGUAGUGGGGGAUAGCCCGGCGAAAGCCGGAUUAAUACCGCAUACGACCUACGGGUGAAAGCGGGGGAUCGCAAGACCUCGCGCUAUUGGAGCGGCCGAUGUCAGAUUAGCUAGUGGGUGGGGUAAAAGCCUACCAAGGCGACGAUCUGUAGCUGGUCUGAGAGGACGACCAGCCAAACUGGGGUGGAGACACGGGCCAGACUCCUACGGGAGGCAGCAGUGGGGAAUUUUGGAAAAGGGGGGCAACCCUGAUCCAGCCAUUCCGCGUGAGUGAAGAAGGCCUUCGGGUUGUAAAGCUCUUUCGGCAGGAACGAAACGGCGAGCUCUAACAUAGCUUGCUAAUGACGGUACCUGAAGAAGAAGCACCGGCUAACUACGUGCCAGCAGCCGCGGUAAAAC
rnacentral:rRNA from 1 species